UUGAAUGUUGAAAUGUAUUUU
ensembl:piRNA 21ur-4671 ncRNA